rnacentral:rRNA from 1 species
UACCCUGGUAGUCCACGCCGUAAACGAUGAGUGCUAAGUGUUAGAGGGUUUCCGCCCUUUAGUGCUGAAGUUAACGCAUUAAGCACUCCGCCUGGKGAGUACGGCCGCAAGGCUGAAACUCAAAGGAAUUGACGGGGGCCCGCACAAGCGGUGGAGCWUGUGGUUUAAUUCGAAGCAACGCGAAGAACCUUACCAGGUCUUGACAUCCUCUGAAAACCCUARAGAUAGGGCUUCUCCUUCGGGAGCAGAGUGACAGGUGGUGCAUGGUUGUCGUCAGYUCGUGUCKUGAGAUGUUGGGUUAAGUCCCGCAACGAGCGCAACCYUUGAUCUUAGUUGCCAUCAUUAAGUUGGGCACUCUAAGGUGACUGCCGGUGACAAACCGGAGGAAGGUGGGSAUGACGUCAAAUCAUCAUGCCCCUUAUGACCUGGGCUACACACGUGCUACAAUGGACGGUACAAAGAGCUGCAAGACCGCGAGGUGGAGCUAAUCUCAUAAAACCGUUCUCAGUUCGGAUUGUAGGCUGCAACUCGCCUACAUGAAGCUGGAAUCGCUAGUAAUCGCGGAUCAGCAUGUCGRGGUGAAUACGUUCCCGGGCCUUGUACACACCGCCCGUCACACCACGAGAGUUUGUAACACCCSAAGUCGGUGGGGUAACCUUUUUGGAGCCAGCCGCCUAAGGUGGGAC